UACGUAGGCAGCAAGCGUUGUUCGGAAUUACUGGGCGUAAAGAGUGUGUAGGCGGUGUUCUAAGUUCGGUGUGAAAUCUCCCGGCUCAACUGGGAGGGUGCGCCCGAAAACUGGGAUGCUCGAGCGUGGGAGAGGAAAGCGGAAUUCCUGGUGUAGCGGUGAAAUGCGUAGAUAUCAGGAGGAACACCGCGGUGUAGACGGCUUUCUGGACCAUUGCUGACGCUGGAGACACGAAAGCGUGGGGAGCGAACAGG
rnacentral:rRNA from 1 species